AACGAACGCUGGCGGCAUGCCUAACACAUGCAAGUCGAACGAGACCUUCGGGUCUAGUGGCGCACGGGUGCGUAACGCGUGGGAACCUGCCCUUAGGUUCGGAAUAACUCCCCGAAAGGGGUGCUAAUACCGGAUAAUGUCUUCGGACCAAAGAUUUAUCGCCUUUGGAUGGGCCCGCGUUGGAUUAGCUAGUUGGUAGGGUAAAAGCCUACCAAGGCGACGAUCCAUAGCUGGUCUGAGAGGAUGAUCAGCCACACUGGGACUGAGACACGGCCCAGACUCCUACGGGAGGCAGCAGUGGGGAAUAUUGGACAAUGGGCGAAAGCCUGAUCCAGCAAUGCCGCGUGAGUGAUGAAGGCCUUAGGGUUGUAAAGCUCUUUUACCCGGGAUGAUAAUGACAGGACCGGGAGAAUAAGCUCCGGCGAACUCCGG
rnacentral:rRNA from 1 species